UACGUAGGUGGCAAGCGUUGUCCGGAAUUAUUGGGCGUAAAGCGCGCGCAGGCGGUCCUUUAAGUCUGAUGUGAAAGCCCACGGCUCAACCGUGGAGGGUCAUUGGAAACUGGGGGACUUGAGUACAGAAGAGAAGAGUGGAAUUCCACGUGUAGCGGUGAAAUGCGUAGAGAUGUGGAGGAACACCAAUGGCGAAAGCAGCUCUCUGGGACGGUACUGACGCUGAGACGCGAAAGCGUGGGGAGCGAACAGG
rnacentral:rRNA from 1 species